GACGAACGCUGGCGGCGUGCCUAAUACAUGCAAGUAGAACGCUGAAGAGAAGAGCUUGCUCUUCUUGGAUGAGUUGCGAACGGGUGAGUAACGCGUAGGUAACCUGCCUGGUAGCGGGGGAUAACUAUUGGAAACGAUAGCUAAUACCGCAUAAAAUUGAUUAUUGCAUGAUAAUUAAUUGAAAGAUGCAAUUGCAUCACUACCAGAUGGACCUGCGUUGUAUUAGCUAGUUGGUGAGGUAACGGCUCACCAAGGCGACGAUACAUAGCCGACCUGAGAGGGUGAUCGGCCACACUGGGACUGAGACACGGCCCAGACUCCUACGGGAGGCAGCAGUAGGGAAUCUUCGGCAAUGGGGGGAACCCUGACCGAGCAACGCCGCGUGAGUGAAGAAGGUUUUCGGAUCGUAAAGCUCUGUUGUAAGAGAAGAACGGGUGUGAGAGUGGAAAGUUCACACUGUGACGGUAUCUUACCAGAAAGGGACGGCUAACUACGUGCCAGCAGCCGCGGUAAUACGUAGGUCCCGAGCGUUGUCCGGAUUUAUUGGGCGUAAAGCGAGCGCAGGCGGUUAGAUAAGUCUGAAGUUAAAGGCUGUGGCUUAACCAUAGUAUGCUUUGGAAACUGUUUAACUUGAGUGCAGAAGGGGAGAGUGGAAUUCCAUGUGUAGCGGUGAAAUGCGUAGAUAUAUGGAGGAACACCGGUGGCGAAAACGGCUCUCUGGUCUGUAACUGACGCUGAGGCUCGAAAGCGUGGGGAGCAAACAGGAUUAGGUACCCUGGUAGUCCACGCCGUAAACGAUGAGUGCUAGGUGUUAGGCCCUUUCCGGGGCUUAGUGCCGCAGCUAACGCAUUAAGCACUCCGCCUGGGGAGUACGACCGCAAGGUUGAAACUCAAAGGAAUUGACGGGGGCCCGCACAAGCGGUGGAGCAUGUGGUUUAAUUCGAAGCAACGCGAAGAACCUUACCAGGUCUUGACAUCCCUCUGACCGCUCUAGAGAUAGAGUUUUCCUUCGGGACAGAGGUGACAGGUGGUGCAUGGUUGUCGUCAGCUCGUGUCGUGAGAUGUUGGGUUAAGUCCCGCAACGAGCGCAACCCCUAUUGUUAGUUGCCAUCAUUCAGUUGGGCACUCUAGCGAGACUGCCGGUAAUAAACCGGAGGAAGGUGGGGAUGACGUCAAAUCAUCAUGCCCCUUAUGACCUGGGCUACACACGUGCUACAAUGGCUGGUACAACGAGUCGCAAGCCGGUGACGGCAAGCUAAUCUCUGAAAGCCAGUCUCAGUUCGGAUUGUAGGCUGCAACUCGCCUACAUGAAGUCGGAAUCGCUAGUAAUCGCGGAUCAGCACGCCGCGGUGAAUACGUUCCCGGGCCU
rnacentral:rRNA from 1 species